AUUGCGUCGCCACUGCAUAAGCAUCCGCCUCCAACUUCAAAUAGGAAAUCGACUAUCAUUAGGUCAGGUUAACAACAAAUGCUAUCACAGAUUCAAUUUCUUUAUUCUGCAGUUGCUUGGAUACGAACAGGUGAAACAAUAAGUGGUUAUGAUUGAUUUUGUGUUUCUCUAGGGUUUUUAGUUUUCGUCAUAUAUAGUCUUUUUGUUUUGAGUUCGAUUAGGUCUGAUCUUUCAUCACCAUCCCAGUCGUAAAUCUAUCUUUUCUUGAUUUAAUUUGAACUUCAGUGGAUCUGCAUAAACCAGAUGAGAUUGAAGUUGAAGAGGACUAGAGGGAAGAGCCUGGUGGCAAAGAAGUGGGUCCUUCAGAUUGUGAUGAUGGCGAAGAAGUUGGAUCUGUAAAUGUGGGAAACUCUGCUUAGCUGGCCAAAAAAGAAGACAUUAAUGGAUUACUUGUGGGUGGUGCUUCAUUAAAGGCUGAAAGUCGCUCUGACUUCGACGAAGUCUAUUAACGAUUGGAGCUCGCUAGAAAUUCAGUUUCCUGUUCUUAGAGAUGUAAGUUUACUAUAAGACCCAUCAUUGUUUAAUCGAGUACACAUUAAGCACAAUUCAUUGAUCUUAAGUUAACGCGUAAUAAUAA